ACUAACUUCUCAGUAUUCAGAAACUAUCCAUUACUCAUCAAUAAUAAAGAAACAAAAAAGAGGUAGCACCAAGCUUACCUCAGCUUACGACUAUCACAGUCUGGCUCCGAUCUCUCUUUCCUCAACCUCUUUAUCCUACCAAAAGAUGGACCAUCGGCCAGCAGAUUCCAAAGCUUAUGUCCUUUUGAAUUCUUAAUCAUUUAUUCCACUAAUAACCUAUUGUUUCCAACUAAAUUGCCCAAUCACUAGUCUAAUUUUCAAGGUUAUCAAUAACCAACCAAUAAC
rnacentral:lncRNA from 1 species